CCAUAACGCGGUCGCCCCGUGAUCCCCCCUUCUCCAAUUGCUGGGGGGUUAGGGCGGCCACACGCGUUCUUACCACCCUUGAUUUUGAGCACCUUCAUGUUUCCUCGGCAGGGACGCCUGCCAGCGAGGACCCCCCAAAAACCUUUUGCAGUUUGCAGUAUUUGUCUGAAAACAAACAUAAUAAUCA
rnacentral:misc_RNA from 1 species